UAAUAAGUGUUUUAUGGCACUUUUAAAUCCAUAUCCACCUUGUGUGCAAUGUCAGUCGAUCUUCUUCAGUGGAGAUUGACCAAACAUCAACCUUUAUCUUUUAACUCUUUGUCUGAAAAAUAGUUAUGAAUAAACAAUUCAAAAUA
rnacentral:misc_RNA from 1 species